CGGUGUAGAGCCCCUGUGACGGAACUCUAUGCCGGAAAAGAAAAACGCUACCUUAUACUUAGAUUAGCUAAUCAGUAACAGAUUGUGUGGGUCCCACCCAUCCCCACCGACCAGCUGUUUACAGCAGCUAUCGAGGUUGGAGCUAACGGAGAGGACAGAGUGGGAAGCAGACCGUUGUUUUCUCUGAGUAGUGGAUGAGCAGGUUUAUAAAAAUAAAUGGUAGCUUGUAGGUGCCACUUCAUGUAGUAUUUAUUAUCGUUUUGUUUGGUUCUGAGUGCUGCUGAGACCUCAGUGGAGAGACGUAAUGUGAAAGAAUAAUGUAUACAGUGCUUGAAUAUGAAAUAACGGUGAGGUCAGACAUGGCUCACUAGGUAAUGUCAACUGUGUGCAUGCUUGAGAGUUUCUGAAAUGCUAUAAUGAGUCUCGUUAAAUUGUGUUUCUAAUAACCAUCUAAUUAGAAUUUUAGUAGUACAGCAUCGGGGCACACUGGCGCUGAUCGGGGAAAGAGCUUUUUUUCUGAAUAUAUAAUAUACAUUUGUGAGUCAUCCUCAGUAACACGUGUAGUGAGUCAUUGUUUAAUGAUAAUAAUGGCAGUCAGCUUUAUUUGUACUUAACACAUAUUCUCUGCUAUGCAGAUUUUGUCUUUUUAUACAAGGCACUGGAUUAUCUCUCAUGCCCUAGUUAAUUCACUGUAUAUAUUAACAGCACAGAAUGUCUUAUGUACAGUAAACUACAUUACACAAAGUAGUUUGGCUUCAUAAUAACAGCUUUCCCAGCCUCUUUGUCAACAAUUGAAAAAGUGAAAUUAAAAUGUAAAA